AACAAAAGGAGGAUUAGCCGACGAUGUAUUUGCUAAUCAACGGCGUUAAUUAAAACGGAGCGUCGGUUUGCAAUCGGUAUAAAUACCAUACGAAAAGCCCUAGACUCUUUUGCUUCUUUUGCUCUCCUCUCCCGACUCUCUCUCUCUCUCCCUCUCUCUCUCUCUCUCUCUCUCUCCCUUUAGAUGCAGCGAUAGCCAUCGCCAUCUCCACCUAUUUCCCCUUUCUCAAUCGACCCUCUCUCUCUAUUUCCCCCUUUCCCUCUCUCAAUCGACCAUCUCUUUGUUUCCCCUUUCUUAAUCCACCUCUUCUCCUCUAGGGUUAGUCUCUCUCUCUCUCUCUCUCUCUCUCUCUCUCUACAGAUUGGAUCUGGUUUUUCUCUCAAGCUACAACAGAUUUCGAUGCAAACAUGGGGUUUUCUCUCAAGUAAUUAGCAGAUUAUCUACGACCACAUCUAAUCAUAAGGUAAUUUCAGUUAUUUCAUCCGUGCUAACCCUUCUUCUUCUGCUAACAGAGUCUCUAGUUCCUAUUCUGUGAAUCUGAAGCCUGCUGGCCUUUACUGAUUUGUAGUCUGGAUGUAACUUUUCAUCAUAUACUUUCCAGGUUUGCAAUUGACACAAUGCAGUCAAUUUUCCUUGAUGAAUUUGGGGGAGAAAAUGCCCUGGAUCAUAGCACUCAACAGACGACUCUUAUUCAACACAUAUUUGGUGGUCAUCUUCAAUCUUAGAUAUUGAUCAAGUUGGAGGAUAAUAGAUUGGUUGAAACUGUUGGGAUACUAGUUGAAGAUAAUAAAGGUUUUUAUCGCCUCACUGAUGGUAUAUCUUCACAGGAGUUUGUAGAUGAUGUUGAUGCAUACUUGGGAAGCUCGCCAUGCAAUGAUCAAAGUUCGGAAGAUCCGAGUGAUGACAUUGAUAGUUGGAAAAUGACAGAUAUCGAUGGUACAACAAUUAUUACACCUUUACCACCCACCCAGACAAUGGUAGAUGACCAAGCAGAUGAUACUGAGUUUUCUGAUUGUGAUAGAAAUGACAUUAUAUACAAUAAUU